UCUUCUUUAAUUUUUUUCAACCAUGCGUAGAGUUUACAUAGUAUAAUUUUACCUUAUUUUUUUGCCUUUAUACUGAGUACAAUUGUGCAAGGUACUAGGAUCAGAAUUGUAUUAUAGCCCCGCCACUUGCUGCCACCAUGGACGCUGCACUCUUGCUUUGCCCUGUGUAAAAUCUUGCACAAAAUAGGACCUAAGUAACUCUCUCUUGAAUGAAUGAUUAUAUGAUUGCUGGAUGAUGCUGGAGAGUCCUUGUGAUGAUGUCUUUUUCCCAGACUUUCCUCUCUUCUUAACUAUGCCUUUUCUCUUCCUUUCCUCCAACCUGGGUUUCAGCCUGCCUGUGGCAUUGAUUUUCCCUGAGUGUGGACUCUUCCUUUCACUAGUUCACGAUAAUGUUUCAUGCGGGCUAUGAAAACUUGCUAGAUGUCAAGAAAUAGCAAAUUCACUGCAUGCUAGUAUUUUUAGUCUGUGGUAUUAUAUUAUCCAUUGAAAUUAAAUCAGGCUGACCCCCUGAGCCCUCCCCUGAUCUCUUUUCUCCUUCCUACGGGUGAUACUUCUCUGGUUGCUGUCUGUGCCCUUCCCCCAGACUUGGUUUUGGAGUUGAGUAAGUCACCAUCAGUGGAGCUCUCUCUUUAAAGAUGAAGAGAACAUUUGCUCCUUCUUCCUGGUUGGGGACUGGAUGAGAUGUGGUAACAGAUAAAGAAUGGAGCCCCAUCUCAUUCUGACCCUCGCUCUUUCCGUUCCUUUCUCCAGGGGAAAAGAGUACAAUUCAAAAAUAUAAAGAUUGUGAGCUAAUGAGAUAGACAAGACAACCGAACAUUUGUUAAAUAUCCUUUCAUGCCGGACACAAAUGUAUUAUACACACAAAAAGCACACAAAUCACGGUAGUACUGCGGUUACAAACGUGGGUCCGAGUUCGAGUCCUGCUCUGGAGUGACCAGUCCUGUGAGAUGGAGAACUGAGUUCUAUGUAUAGUUGGUUACAUUCUAUACCUGGAAAUUUCUCCAAAACUGCUUCCCACGUGCCCUCACCUCCAGUGGCAUCCAUCCAGACACCAGCACUGACACUGGCCGUGCUCAGAACUGCCUCAGCCCUGAAGACACAACUGACAAAUAGAAGGGGGCUACGCCCUAUGACAGCAGAUGCUCUCACUUUGUGGGUCCUUAUGUAACUGCGCGGUGUUAUUCAGGAUCGCCCGUUCUACACUGUGUGACGCUGCUGCCGUGUCUCCUAGUUAUUUCUGAUCUGAGAAGCAGGAGCAAGGAACUCAGGGAGAGAUCCAGGAAGACAUCUGACUCUGUUAAGAGACGACAGUCACAGCGACACGGGGAGCGAGGACACUUGCAGCAAAGUAAAAUGACUUCACAACUAUUGCAUCAGAGCUGCAGGUGUGAGAGAGCCUAAGCCUGUCUCAGAGUGCAGGGGACAAGAGGAAAGGAAUGGUAAAAUUAACACUGACAAUUGAAAUUUUGUUAAAUAGCCUGCUAAUAUUAAUUGUAUCAAAUGAAUGUAUGCAGGUGUAUUUCUAUGAUCAUUUAUAGUUACACACAACCCCACCAGCCCCUCUUUC